GGACCCGCACAAGCGGUGGAGCAUGUGGUUUAAUUCGAAGCAACGCGAAGAACCUUACCAAGUCUUGACAUCCCAUUGACCGGAACGUAAUGGUUCCUUCUCUUCGGAGCAGUGGUGACAGGUGGUGCAUGGUUGUCGUCAGCUCGUGUCGUGAGAUGUUGGGUUAAGUCCCGCAACGAGCGCAACCCUUAUUUUUAGUAGCCAGCAGUUCGGCUGGGCACUCUAGAGAGACUGCCAGGGAUAACCUGGAGGAAGGUGGGGAUGACGUCAAAUCAUCAUGCCCCUUAUGACUUGGGCUACACACGUGCUACAAUGGCGUAAACAAAGGGAAGCAAGACAGUGAUGUUAAGCAAAUCUCAAAAAUAACGUCUCAGUUCGGAUUGUAGUCUGCAACUCGACUACAUGAAGCUGGAAUCGCUAGUAAUCGCGAAUCAGAAUGUCG
rnacentral:rRNA from 1 species